rnacentral:rRNA from 1 species
UACGUAGGGUGCGAGCGUUGUCCGGAAUUACUGGGCGUAAAGAGCUCGUAGGCGGCCUGUCGCGUCGGAUGUGAAAGCCCGGGGCUUAACCCCGGGUCUGCAUUCGAUACGGGCAGGCUAGAGUGUGGUAGGGGAGAUCGGAAUUCCUGGUGUAGCGGUGAAAUGCGCAGAUAUCAGGAGGAACACCGGUGGCGAAGGCGGAUCUCUGGGCCAUUACUGACGCUGAGGAGCGAAAGCGUGGGGAGCGAACAGG